UGGGGAAUAUUGGACAAUGGGCGCAAGCCUGAUCCAGCCACGCCGCGUGAGUGAUGAAGGCCUUCGGGUUGUAAAGCUCUGUGGGUAGGGACGAAAACGGUCCGGAAGAAACGACGGAUCCUUGACGGUACCUACUUAGCAAGCACCGGCUAACUCUGUGCCAGCAGCCGCGGUAAUACAGAGGGUGCGAACGUUGCUCGGAAUUACUGGGCGUAAAGCGCGUGUAGGCGGAGCGCUAAGUCGGGCGUGAAAUCCCCAGGCUCAACCUGGGAACUGCGCUCGAAACUGGCGUUCUCGAGUAUCGGAGAGGGUGGCGGAAUUCCUGGUGUAGAGGUGAAAUUCGUAGAUAUCAGGAGGAACACCGGUGGCGAAGGCGGCCACCUGGACGAUUACUGACGCU
rnacentral:rRNA from 1 species